GGUUAAGCGACUAAGCGUACACGGUGGAUGCCCUGGCAGUCAGAGGCGAUGAAGGACGUGCUAAUCUGCGAUAAGCGUCGGUAAGGUGAUAUGAACCGUUAUAACCGGCGAUUUCCGAAUGGGAAAACCCAGUGUGAUUCGUCACACUAUCAUUAACUGAAUCCAUAGGUUAAUGAGGCGAACCGGGGGAACUGAAACAUCUAAGUACCCCGAGGAAAAGAAAUCAACCGAGAUUCCCCCAGUAGCGGCGAGCGAACGGGGAGCAGCCCAGAGCCUGAAUCAGUGUGUGUGUUAGUGGAAGCGUCUGGAAAGGCGCGCGAUACAGGGUGACAGCCCCGUACACAAAAAUGCACAUACUGUGAGCUCGAUGAGUAGGGCGGGACACGUGGUAUCCUGUCUGAAUAUGGGGGGACCAUCCUCCAAGGCUAAAUACUCCUGACUGACCGAUAGUGAACCAGUACCGUGAGGGAAAGGCGAAAAGAACCCCGGCGAGGGGAGUGAAAAAGAACCUGAAACCGUGUACGUACAAGCAGUGGGAGCACAGAGCAAUCUGUGUGACUGCGUACCUUUUGUAUAAUGGGUCAGCGACUUAUAUUCUGUAGCAAGGUUAACCGAAUAGGGGAGCCGAAGGGAAACCGAGUCUUAACUGGGCGUUAAGUUGCAGGGUAUAGACCCGAAACCCGGUGAUCUAGCCAUGGGCAGGUUGAAGGUUGGGUAACACUAACUGGAGGACCGAACCGACUAAUGUUGAAAAAUUAGCGGAUGACUUGUGGCUGGGGGUGAAAGGCCAAUCAAACCGGGAGAUAGCUGGUUCUCCCCGAAAGCUAUUUAGGUAGCGCCUCGUGAAUUCAUCUCCGGGGGUAGAGCACUGUUUCGGCAAGGGGGUCAUCCCGACUUACCAACCCGAUGCAAACUGCGAAUACCGGAGAAUGUUAUCACGGGAGACACACGGCGGGUGCUAACGUCCGUCGUGAAGAGGGAAACAACCCAGACCGCCAGCUAAGGUCCCAAAGUCAUGGUUAAGUGGGAAACGAUGUGGGAAGGCCCAGACAGCCAGGAUGUUGGCUUAGAAGCAGCCAUCAUUUAAAGAAAGCGUAAUAGCUCACUGGUCGAGUCGGCCUGCGCGGAAGAUGUAACGGGGCUAAACCAUGCACCGAAGCUGCGGCAGCGACGCUUAUGCGUUGUUGGGUAGGGGAGCGUUCUGUAAGCCUGCGAAGGUGUGCUGUGAGGCAUGCUGGAGGUAUCAGAAGUGCGAAUGCUGACAUAAGUAACGAUAAAGCGGGUGAAAAGCCCGCUCGCCGGAAGACCAAGGGUUCCUGUCCAACGUUAAUCGGGGCAGGGUGAGUCGACCCCUAAGGCGAGGCCGAAAGGCGUAGUCGAUGGGAAACAGGUUAAUAUUCCUGUACUUGGUGUUACUGCGAAGGGGGGACGGAGAAGGCUAUGUUGGCCGGGCGACGGUUGUCCCGGUUUAAGCGUGUAGGCUGGUUUUCCAGGCAAAUCCGGAAAAUCAAGGCUGAGGCGUGAUGACGAGGCACUACGGUGCUGAAGCAACAAAUGCCCUGCUUCCAGGAAAAGCCUCUAAGCAUCAGGUAACAUCAAAUCGUACCCCAAACCGACACAGGUGGUCAGGUAGAGAAUACCAAGGCGCUUGAGAGAACUCGGGUGAAGGAACUAGGCAAAAUGGUGCCGUAACUUCGGGAGAAGGCACGCUGAUAUGUAGGUGAAGCGACUUGCUCGUGGAGCUGAAAUCAGUCGAAGAUACCAGCUGGCUGCAACUGUUUAUUAAAAACACAGCACUGUGCAAACACGAAAGUGGACGUAUACGGUGUGACGCCUGCCCGGUGCCGGAAGGUUAAUUGAUGGGGUCAGCGCAAGCGAAGCUCUUGAUCGAAGCCCCGGUAAACGGCGGCCGUAACUAUAACGGUCCUAAGGUAGCGAAAUUCCUUGUCGGGUAAGUUCCGACCUGCACGAAUGGCGUAAUGAUGGCCAGGCUGUCUCCACCCGAGACUCAGUGAAAUUGAACUCGCUGUGAAGAUGCAGUGUACCCGCGGCAAGACGGAAAGACCCCGUGAACCUUUACUAUAGCUUGACACUGAACAUUGAGCCUUGAUGUGUAGGAUAGGUGGGAGGCUUUGAAGUGUGGACGCCAGUCUGCAUGGAGCCGACCUUGAAAUACCACCCUUUAAUGUUUGAUGUUCUAACGUUGACCCGUGAUCCGGGUUGCGGACAGUGUCUGGUGGGUAGUUUGACUGGGGCGGUCUCCUCCUAAAGAGUAACGGAGGAGCACGAAGGUUGGCUAAUCCUGGUCGGACAUCAGGAGGUUAGUGCAAUGGCAUAAGCCAGCUUGACUGCGAGCGUGACGGCGCGAGCAGGUGCGAAAGCAGGUCAUAGUGAUCCGGUGGUUCUGAAUGGAAGGGCCAUCGCUCAACGGAUAAAAGGUACUCCGGGGAUAACAGGCUGAUACCGCCCAAGAGUUCAUAUCGACGGCGGUGUUUGGCACCUCGAUGUCGGCUCAUCACAUCCUGGGGCUGAAGUAGGUCCCAAGGGUAUGGCUGUUCGCCAUUUAAAGUGGUACGCGAGCUGGGUUUAGAACGUCGUGAGACAGUUCGGUCCCUAUCUGCCGUGGGCGCUGGAGAACUGAGGGGGGCUGCUCCUAGUACGAGAGGACCGGAGUGGACGCAUCACUGGUGUUCGGGUUGUCAUGCCAAUGGCACUGCCCGGUAGCUAAAUGCGGAAGAGAUAAGUGCUGAAAGCAUCUAAGCACGAAACUUGCUCCGAGAUGAGUUCUCCCUGACUCCUUGAGAGUCCUGAAGGAACGUUGAAGACGACGACGUUGAUAGGCCGGGUGUGUAAGCGCAGCGAUGCGUUGAGCUAACCGGUACUAAUGAACCGUGAGGCUUAACCUU
rnacentral:rRNA from 1 species